UACGUAGGGUGCAAGCGUUGUCCGGAAUUAUUGGCGUAAAGAGCUCGUAGGCGGUCUGUCGCGUCUGCCUGUGAAAACCUAGGGCUUAACUCUGGCGUGCGUGGGUACGGGCAGACUUAGAGGUGCGGUAGGGGAGAACUGGAAUUCCGUGGUGAUAGCGGUGAAAUGCGACAGACGUAUCGAAGGAGGAACACCGGUGGGCGAAGGCGGGUCUCUGGGC
rnacentral:rRNA from 1 species